rnacentral:rRNA from 2 species
AGAAGAAACUUACGAGGAUUCCCCUAGUAACGGCGAGCGAACCGGGAGCAGCCCAGCUUGAGAAUCGGACGGCCCCGCCGCCCGAAUUGUAGUCUGUAGAAGCGUCCUCAGCGACGGACCGGGCCCAAGUCCACUGGAAAGUGGCGCCGGAGAGGGUGAGAGCCCCGUCGUGCCCGGACCCUGCCGCACCACGAGGCGCUGUCGGCGAGUCGGGUUGUUUGGGAAUGCAGCCCCAAUCGGGCGGUAAAUUCCGUCCAAGGCUAAAUACCGGCGAGAGACCGAUAGCGAACAAGUACCGCGAGGGAAAGAUGAAAAGGACUUUGAAAAGAGAGUCAAAGAGUGCUUGAAAUUGUCGGGAGGGAAGCGGAUGGGGGCCGGCGAUGCGCCUCGGUCGGAAGCGGAACGGCGUCCAGCCGGUCCGCCGCUCGACUCGGGGCGCGGACCGUUGCGGGUCGCGGCGGCGGCCUAAGCCCUUGCGGACGAUCCCGCGCGCGGAGACGCCGUCGCCUCGACCGGGGGAGUCAGCACGCGCCGCGUCGGCGUGCCACCCGGCACCAGCGUGCUCCCGGCAGACGGCCUGCGGG